rnacentral:rRNA from 1 species
GUAGGGAAUAUUGGGCAAUGGAGGCAACUCUGACCCAGCCAUGCCGCGUGCAGGAAGACGGUCCUCUGGAUUGUAAACUGCUUUUGAAUGGGAAGAAACGUAGCUUUGCGAAGCUAUUUGACGGUACUAUUAGAAUAAGCACCGGCUAACUCCGUGCCAGCAGCCGCGGUAAUACGGAGGGUGCAAGCGUUAUCCGGAUUUAUUGGGUUUAAAGGGUGCGUAGGCGGCUUUAUAAGUCUGGGGUUAAAGGCGGCAGCUUAACUGUACGCAUGCCCUGGAAACUGUGAAGCUUGAGUGACUUGGAGGUAGCUAGAAUUCCCUGUGUAGCGGUGAAAUGCAUAGAUACGGGGAGGAAUACCGAUUGCGAAGGCAUGUUACUACGAGUAAACUGACGCUGAUGCACGAAAGCGUGGGGAUCAAACAGGAUUAGAAACCCUGGUAGUCC